UGGGGAAUUUUGGACAAUGGGCGAAAGCCUGAUCCAGCAAUGCCGCGUGUGUGAAGAAGGCCUUCGGGUUGUAAAGCACUUUUGUCCGGAAAGAAAUCCUUGGCUCUAAUACAGUCGGGGGAUGACGGUACCGGAAGAAUAAGCACCGGCUAACUACGUGCCAGCAGCCGCGGUAAUACGUAGGGUGCAAGCGUUAAUCGGAAUUACUGGGCGUAAAGCGUGCGCAGGCGGUUUGCUAAGACCGAUGUGAAAUCCCCGGGCUCAACCUGGGAACUGCAUUGGUGACUGGCAGGCUAGAGUAUGGCAGAGGGGGGUAGAAUUCCACGUGUAGCAGUGAAAGUGCGUAGAGAUGUGGAGGAAUACCGAUGGCGAAGGCAGCCCCCUGGGCCAAUACUGACGCUCAUGCACAAAAGCGUGGGGAGCAAACAGGAUUAGAUACCCUGGUAGUCCACGCCCUAAACGAUGUCAACUAGUUGUUGGGGAUUCAUUUCCUUAGUAACGUAGCUAACGCGUGAAGUUGACCGCCUGGGGAGUACGGUCGCAAGAUUAAAACUCAAAUGAAUUGACGGGGUCAUAGCUGUUUCCU
rnacentral:rRNA from 1 species